rnacentral:rRNA from 1 species
GACGAACGCUGGCGGCGUGCCUAACACAUGCAAGUCGAACGGAGAAUCAGUAAUGAUUCUUAGUGGCGAACGGGUGAGUAACGCGUAGACAACCUGCCUUCUAGAUGGGGACAACACCGCGAAAGUGGUGCUAAUACCGAAUGUUGUAAUUCUGUUGCAUACUAUGAAUACUAAAGAUGGCCUCUAUUUAUAAGCUAUCGCUCGAAGAUGGGUCUGCGUCUGAUUAGCUAGUUGGUGAGGUAAUGGCUCACCAAGGCGACGAUCAGUAGCCGGUCUGAGAGGAUGAACGGCCACACUGGGACUGAGACACGGCCCAGACUCCUACGGGAGGCAGCAGUGGGGAAUCUUCCGCAAUGGACGAAAGUCUGACGGAGCAACGCCGCGUGAGUGAAGAAGGUCUUCGGAUCGUAAAACUCUGUUUUCAGGGACGAAUGUGCAGCUUGUAAAUAAUGAGUUGUAAUGACGGUACCUGAGUAGAAAGCCACGGCUAACUACGUGCCAGCCGCCGCAGUAAUAC